rnacentral:rRNA from 1 species
UACAGAGGGUGCGAGCGUAAUCGGAAUUACUGGGGCGUAAAGCGCGCGUAGGCGGCUUUGCAAGUCGGGGUGUGAAAUCCCCAGGCUCAACCUGGGAACUGCAUUCGAGACUGCAUUUGCUAGAGUAUGGGGAGAGGGGAAGUGGAAUUUCAGGUGUAGCGGUGAAAAUGCGUAGAUAUCUAAAGGGAAACAUCAGUGGCGAAAAGCGACUUCCU